ACUCAACGUUAAUUCUUUAAAAAGGGUGAGUUUAAGUUGUUAAAGCAUGCUGCACCAACUAAAUUAGUUUAGUUUUUAGCAGACCCUUGAUCAGCUUGUUAGCCCUAAACUUGUUUUUAAGGAGUUU
rnacentral:sRNA from 1 species